AGAGAUAUGACGUCAUCAAACUUUGUGGAAGGUUGAGUUUUAGAAAGUCCGGGGACCGAUCUUUAACUUUAGUUUAAUAGCAGAUUAUCAGUAUAAUAAACGUUUUGAACUAACAUCUUGAACCAGUUGGAUCAACCAUGACCUGAAAUAAUAAAGAAGUGAUAAACUGAUAUGCAGAACGUUAGCGCAGGAAGUUUAACAACAGGUUUCAGCAGGCAGCAUCUCGCCUCCUCCAUUCCAGCUCCGCCCAGCGCAUCUGCCAAAUCUUCCUCGCGGAACGCAUGGGGGAUUUGACUACGCCGGGUACCGUAUGAUGCUGAGUCAGUGAGUGUUCCUUCGCAUAGUGCCAUAGAAAACCCCCGAGUCUGAGCGUCAAUAAACCAUGGCAUUUGAGACUGAGACCAAAUAGUGUACUAGUUGGUGGAAAUCCUAGCCAGACCUGUUAUACGAGCAUCACGUUGCCCUUGACAACCUACCAAGCUGUGACUCCUGAUAUUGUGCGCACUGGGUUCUGUAUACAGGCUUGAGCACAAACACUGGAUAAAAUCCACAGUGAUAUCUCCAAUACUGUCAGUGAUCAGUGUACUUUACGAAGGCAAUACCAACAUGUUUGCUCACCCUGCAUAUCUGAUUCUCCCUGAUGCAAACUCAGAGUAAAUGUCCUUGGCAGGCGCACAGAGCCCCAACCACUCAACACUGCGAUGCUAAUUUUGGCCUUCCGCACCAGGAUCUUAGAUAGCGAAAUCAAACAUUGACUUGGUAAACAUUUUCCUGUCCAAUAGCAAUCAUGGCCCUGUGGAGUCCUCGGCUGGGCCAGAAAGGCAGCUCAUUUGGGAACAUACCGUCCCCUACACACAACCGGCGGCAGUUCUCGCCACAGAAGGUGUCCAGGUCUUGGCACAGCUCCGGUGUCGACAUGGAGAGCAACGGGAACCUCCUUGAUGGAACAAUCUUGGCUAGUCUGGAGUCUUUAGAGAACAAUAACAUCACAAGUCAUCUCAUUUACCACUAUGCCAGUCAGGUGUUUAAUGGAUUGUCUCCGGGACCUAAAUCAGACAAAAUUUCCUAUGAGAAGGACGUUGAUGAGACAAAAACUAUUCCAGUGAUCAGCGUCAAAGACGCCAGAAUUAAGAGGAAAAUCUAUGAUCUUGCCUUUGAAACUUUGAAAUAUCAAGCUCUGUUAGAAGAUGUACUUAUGGACAGUGGAUUUUACAGUUACGAUGCAUCAGCUGGUGAGAAUCAUAGUAUGAUCAUGGUAAUUCUAUGUGACAUGGUCUACCGCAAGUUUGCCAAGCGAGCGCGACGUCAACCAGAGACGUGCAUCCCGUACGUUCAGGAGGUGGAGGAAGACAUGUUACGGUACACCACAAAACUAAACGCUGCCCUCGCCAGGAACCGCAUCAAGUACCAGGCAGCAAGCAUAGAGAAUCUACUGCCAGCGACGGUCAGGGAAAGGGAGAAAUGUGGAUCGCAGCUGCCCUGCUAUGCGUGGAUUAAUCAACUUUCGAUAAGCGUUCAAGAUGCAGUUGAAGAACUUCAGGAGGAAGGCUUCAGGUUGGUGAGCUCAAUAGACAGAAUGGUAGAUAGUCAUUCCUUUGUUACCGAUCAUCACUGCUCCAAUGUACUCAUGUUCCAUGCUUCGGCCAGAGAAGAGAUUCAAGAAUCUGAGCUGGUCAGGUCAUCCAAACUUAUUCUGCAGGAUAAGACAUGCUGCUUAGGCCCCCAUUCAGUGAAAGCCAUGCUGAACGAAGGGGAUGACAUCAUUCAUACAAACGUUGGGAAUGGCUGGACGACGGCACACCUAGCCACGUUGACCAAUCAGGACAACACUACCAUCUACGCAUUCGGUGUCAAAGACGACGAGCAUCUGGAGAUGUUAGAGGCACGCAUGGGAAGGCUACGAAUUCAUAAUAUAAAGUUCAUCCGGGAUGACUUUCUAACUGUGCAGCCGAACGAUACCAAAUAUAAAGGCGUCAAGGUCGUGAUGGUCACACCCAAGGAUUCAAGAUCAGGGAUCAUCAACCCUGUGGAAUACAUUUUACAAGAAGGAGAAGAUCCAAGUAUUUUGAGAGAACUUUCCCAAGAAGGACAAGACACAGAUAGGAUAGAUGAACUAGCACAGGAGCAUAUGGACCUCAUGAAACAUGCCUUGAAAUUUUACAGAGUCCAAGCGGUAGUCUACGCCACCACGUCAAUCAUGAAGGAAGAGAAUGAGAACGUCGUCGCCAAAUCUGCCGAGUUCACCAACUCAAAGAUGAGUUCCAAGAAUAACCCCUACCGGCCGGUGCCCCCCGUCCUGCCCCUCACCCCGCACGACCUCGAGCUGCAGAGCUCGGGCAAGUUUCUCAGGAUGGAACCCUCAAACAUCAUGGGAGGCUGUUUUGUGGCUAUUCUCAGCAGAGAGGAUGAAGCUAUGAGUGCUGCUGAUGUGCUGGCCAGGGCUGCUGCCAAGGGCCUGUGUGACCUACCAGACUCCAAGGAGGAGAAGAAGAAGCGGAAGGGGAAGGGUCAGGCUGCAAACAAGAAGUCCAGGCAGCCCAAGACUAUGGCGCAGAAGGUGGAACUGCCCAAGGAAGCCAAGUCCGGCAAGCAAAAGCCAGUCAGGACAGCGAAAUCCGCGGACGGUAUGAAGCAGCCUACCAAGAGGAGCCCCAAAGCCAAGCCCAGGACCCGCCACGAUGCCUGGAUGCACAUCAGUUCACAGCACCACCGCCUCAUGCUCUCGUCACCUCCCUAAAAGCCAAACACUGAACCUGAAGCAAUAUCAACAUGCAUGCAUGGGUGCCAUGUUUGCGCAUCAUUUCAAUCGCAAGGAAUCAAAGAUGCAGACCAUGGCCAGGUCCCAGUGCAAUGUCCCCCAGGCCCUCGAUAAACAACCCAGGGGAGUACCCCUUACCCAUUCAACCAUCAUCCGGAUCCAACCAAAGGUGGAAGUCACCCCCAUGCACAAGAAGGUCAUCAACCACCCGAAACCAUUCCUGUAAAUGACACCUACGCAUGAACCAGGUCCCAGUGUAUAGUAUCUUAGGCCCUUUGAUAAACAACCCAGGGGCGUACCCCUUACCAAUUCAACCAUCAUUCGGAUCCAGCCGUAGGUGGAAGUCACACCCAUGCACAAGAAGGUCAUCAACACUUACACAUACUUGGAUGAUGUUUCAUAUCGCUGUUUGUAUUGUUACAAGCAAUCUUAAGAACGAUUGGUGAUCCUUUCUUACACCUGUAGAGCAAAAUCAACACCAUUGAAGCAUACCGGUAUACAUUUUAACAUGAAGGAUUGCCAAUCGUUCAUAAAGUCAUUCGUACAGUUGUUGGUAAUAGGUUACGAACAGCUUUAUUAAACACUGACCCACCAACUGGCUUUCCCUAUCUGAUACUUGUAAGGAGAGUCCAAUGUUUGGUUGUACAUUUCAUAUACAUGUAUUUGUGAAAAAAAAAACUGUCUUUUAAUUCUAAUGAAUAGGACAUACAGCAAUGUCCCUUUUUCAGCCUCUUUCUUCCCAUUUCCCAUUUUCUUGGGUUAUAGAGGGUGGGCAGGUGAGACCCAUAUAUUCCAAGCCUUCCCAUUGGAUUUAAUCUUUGAGACCCCGUCUUUGAGAACUUCCCUAACAUUGUGGUUUUUUAGGUAAGAUUUGUUGAAAAUGGCUAUUCGUUUCUACUUUUUCCCCAACUCAGGUCAAUUUUUUCAUUCAGAGCCAUUAAUCAUGGUCGCAUUAUGACAUCCAAAUUCAAUGUGGAAUGUUUUUUUUUUUUGGGGGGGGGGGGGUUUGUUGCUUUUUUUUAGAUUUCAGUCCAGUUUUUAAAUGGUGAUUAAUUGUGGAAUGUUUUUUUUUUUUUUUUUUUUUGGGGGGGGGGUUUGUUGCUUUUUUUAGAUUUCAGUCCAGUUUUUAAAUGGUGAUUAAUUGUAGAUACUUUUAGGGGCUUUCGCAAUUGGAUGCGCGACUCUUUGCGAACAUUUUGAUCCUGUGCAAAUAGAAUGCAAGCAAAUGGUGAUGUGAACGAUGGUGCGGACAAUUGUAAAAUCCCCGUUUUGCAUUAAUGUUCAAUUCACUCAUUGAAAGAUGUGAUUUUAACCAGCUGAAUGAGUGGCUGCUUGUCCAGACUUAACAGGUGUUAAUAUUAACUUUGUAGAAGUUUGAAUGAAUAGAUAAAUAGUUUUAUUAAUUCAUAAAAUUGUCAUAAUUGUGUAAAGAUGUUCAGGCCGAGUCCACCCCAAAAAUGAAUUGUAAAUAAAGAAAAAUUAAACAAGCAUAACACUUAAAAUCAGAUUUAAAAUGAAUUUUUUUCAAACAUUUUAUUUAAUGUUAUGCUUAGUCUUUAUUACAAACCAGUAUAAAUGAAUUCUGGUUGGUGUGUGCGAAUGAGGGAACCCAUUCAUUUUGUAUAUUGGUCUAUGAAAAAUGGAAUACAGUAGGCUCUUCAUAAGUUGCCUGAAAAUUAGCUGGUAGCCUUCAAGAAGCCAGUGAGACCUUUCUUGCAAGUGACGGCAACCUUUUUCAAAAUGGCGGAUGUUCAUGUUGCACAUGGCACAGCCCACAUGGAUGAAAGUGCUGUUACAUACUACAUAGAUAGUGACAGUUGAUAUGUGAUCAUAUGAAUUAUUUAACUAAAAGUUUACCAGCGGAAUAUCACUAUUAUAUUUUCGUUGAAAUCAAGACAAUAUAGGAUUGUUUUAUUCACUCUCAUGCAAACUGUACUGUAGCUAUCACUACUGAACUUGACUUUGAAACAGUCUUUUGAUUCUUGUAUUUCUGUGAGGUCUCUUUGUGCUUUGAAACAAUUUUUCUAUUGAUGAUUAUUGAUUAUUUUAAUAUGAUUCAUUCGUGAUAGAUCCUUAUUAUCACAGGUUCAUGGGUAACUCAUUCUUCAAGUGCAUUUCUACAUAAUAUCUCCUUGCAACUCAUGUGUGCCUUUCCAUAUAUUUUAUUUUAUGUUUGUAAAAUUGCAUUUAUUCAUAUACAGUAUAUUUCCACACAUUUUUAAGCGACUCCUUGGCGUGAAUAUUUUUGAAGGAAAAUAUUGGUACACGUACAUUUGUGCUUUUUGUUUUUACAAAUUUCUGCAUUUAUGUUUGAUAUACAUGUAUUAUUGGGUUUGAAAUAUUCACUAUUACUGUUUUUAUAUACCAUUGAAUGUAAACUUACAUACAGUAAUUUAUUUUAGAAGUUUUUUAGAUAAUGGAAAUAGGAUUUUUUUUUUUUUUUUUUUUUUGGGGGGGGGGUGAAUUGUUUAAGAAAGUAGUUGGUCAUCUUGGCAUGGUAAUUUACAUGGUUGCUUUUGUAUUAACCAAUGUUACCCAUUUGUAUAUACCCCCCCCCAAAAAAAAAAAAGGAAAUGUAUUCAAAUUAAUUGUAAAUUAAUGAGUAAAUAAAUGAAUAAGAAGAUGAAAGAUUAUUAAUAAAUAAAUGACUGAAUAAAUAAGUGAAUUGAUAAAAUAGCAAAUGUUGAAUUAAUAACAAAAGUAUGUAAAAUAAAAGAUUUAAAUUUUUAGAAUUACACUUUUAAGGAUAUUCGUCUAGACAUCCAUAAUGUCACAAUAUUGCAAGAUUUCAAAGACAUGAGAACAUUUUAUGUACUAUGAAAAAAGUAUAUGUUCCUGUAAUUGGAUUAGUUAUUUGUGGAGUUUAACCCCAAAUAGCCUAGGAGUCACAUUAGAGUGUGUUUGGAAGGGAUAGAGGUGCUUGCUGAGGAUUUUUUUAACUCUGUGCACACUGAACUAAUGCUGUGAGGAUGAGAUCCGAGACAGAAAGUUGCCCUUUUUAAAUAUUAUUAUUCUGUUAAAAUCCCACCUAAUUGAUGCAGUUUUCAUAGUUGUGAUAAAAUGAUUAUUUUAUGAAUGUUAUCUGAGCAUUACAGGGCUUACCUUGAAAAAGUGGUGUUGCCUUCAAUAGUGCAAUGUUGAAGGAAAGUAAACAUCGAUGGGAUUGUAGAAUUUUAUUGUAAAUGGCAACAUUGGGAAAGAGUGAAUAUUGAUUUCAUCAGUCGGGAUUUGAGAGAAAACAAGUUAAUUUAAUGUCAUUUGAAGAAUAAUGGUGACUACAAUAUCAGUGGUUGCUUUCUUUCUCACUGCUUGGUUGUGGCAUGUACUGUUUCAAGUUUUAACAUGAUUGUUGUAGCGAUGUAUUAUCUUGUAGAAUGUUAUUUCGUGCAUAACUUUAGGAAAAUUUGCAAUAUGUUUUGCAUUUUCAUGACCAAAGUUGUAUAUCUUUAAUCGGGACUUGAUUCUGUUCACAGUAAAUAUAGGUAUUUUAUCACUCACUUACUGUAUUUCUUGGGUAUUUUUGAGGACUUUUAUUUGUUGUGGUAAUUAAUGUAACUUUAAAUUAGAUUAGGCAAUCUUAAUGUAGCACACAUCAGACGUUAUGCAAUAGUUGCAAUCAUUUUAUUGUCCGUUCAUCUUGCCGAUGUAUUAUUUCCAAUAUGGUUUCAACAAUGUCAUCUCUCAAAACAAAGUAAGAACUUAAUCCUUAGCAAUUUCAUGAAUAUUUUAUGUUAGUAAUUGUGUUAUCAUAUAGAAUGGCUUGUAUAGUGUUGUUCUGUGGUUAGAAGUGUGGACUUUAAGGUAAAAGGUCUUGGGUUCUAACCAACCCCCUUUUUUUCUUAGUCAGACUUCAAUUCAUCUAUUCUUCACUCUUUAAAAGGAAAGUGAACUUCAAAGAGGUGUACCCCACAGUCAUAGACCCAUGCCUUUUCGGACAGUGUUUAUACAUAUACAUGUACAUGUACCCUUCAAUAAAAAAAAAAAUAUAUAUAUAUAUACUGUGAGUUUUGGUUUAAAAAAUUAAAAUUUAGCAACCAACAUUUUUCUGAUG